CCUUUGUGCCCCCUCUCUCUUCCACGGCCUCUCUUUAUUGUUACACACAGAGUCAUUGGGGCAGCACACCAUAUGAAUCCAAAGUUACUCACGUGAUUCUUGCCUCUCCAGGUUUUAGAUCUUUCUAAACUAUUUGCUAUUGUUGUGUGAGAACUGAAUCAACUGAUGGAUAUCAAGGUUUGCUGCCUUCAAGUUGUGUUUCCCCAUAAUAAGGGCUCCACUCAGUCAAUUAUUUUUUUAUGGCUGCAGAUUAUGUGGGAUGUUCUGCACAAUCAACUUGGGAAUAAUUAGCAAGUAGUGGUGUCAAUGGCAUCCGUCAGAGCCAUUUUGGUGGCACAUGCACACCACGUUCUGGAAUGUCUCACAAUCAACUUGGGCAGUUGAUGUAGGCUGCCUCAAUUUUCUGUCUGUGUAGCAGCAACAAGUUCAUGAAUCUACUGCUUGUUGCCUUUAUUAUUUUGAUCUAUGAAAAAAGAAAAUUUACCCUGUCAUUUAUGUGUACGUUUCUUCUCUUACUGAUUUUACUUGCUCGACAAAAGUGCAACAAAGCAAUUUUUUAUUCAUAUAGAUAUAUAAAAUGCAUUUUUAUGGUGUCUCUUUCUACAUGAUAUUCUUUGUGUUCCACGAUAACUUUUAGUGAUUUUUGGUGAUGUAUAUGGAUUGCGGCAGAUGAAGGAGGAUGGAGGGAAUGUGGAUACGGCUUGGUUAGCAUCUAUUGAGGAAGUCACUAUGAAACAAGAGGAGAUGGAUAGGACUUUCAGAUCUGGCGUUCUCCCUGUCACUUACUGCCUGAUUUAUACACGGAAAUAAACAGAUAAUUUUACAGUCCGUACAUCGCAGGCCAAUAUAAAAAAGUACUUUUCCACUUCACAAAAUAAUACCUCAAAAGACACAUGUAUGAAGGGUAUACUGUUUUCCCAAUCAAAGUAGGAAACGGACGCGCCAAUGUCAUUGCUCGGCUUAUCAUUGGAGUCGACAACAGAGCUCCCAUCGCAACAAACUGGGCUCAAUUCUUUCGCAUGACAAAUAUGAGAGCAGGAGCACCAUAUGUGUUUGCCUUUGAGGAACUAGCUGGGGAGCUCCAUCUCACUGUACAGACUCCCUCUGAUAGUGGUGUAGGCAGCCACCGGCAUUAUCUGAUAAUAUAGUUUAGGUUCAGGACUUGCGUCAUGUACUGUUUUGUGGCCCGUGAAAUCUGCUUCACAUCACCUUAUUCUUUUUUUUUGCGGGUGAUCACCUUAUUCUUUCUGACUCGACUACUUGGUUGUACGAACUGGAAGUACUCCAAAUGGUCUAAUUGUAGUUUCGUAGGAUUUAUAGUGCCUCUGUGUUGAGAAAAUCAAUUCUAUGUUUCUCGCUUUUACAAAUGUGUGGUAACUAUUACUCAAAUAG